CGUGUAGGCGGGGAAUUAAGUUAGGUGUGAAAUCCAAGGGCUCAACCCGUGAAUGGCACCUAAUACUGAUUCUCUUGAGUUCGGGAGAGGAGAGCGGAAUUCCCGGUGUAGCGGUGAAAUGCGUAGAUAUCGGGAAGAACACCAGUGGCGAAGGCGGCUCUCUGGCCUAGAACUGACGCUGAGACGCGAAAGCGUGGGGAGCGAAC
rnacentral:rRNA from 1 species